AGAGUUUGAUCCUGGCUCAGGAUGAACGCUGGCGGCGUGCUUAACACAUGCAAGUCGAACGAACCUUCGGGUUAGUGGCGGACGGGUGAGUAACGCGUGAGAAUCUGCCCUCAGGAGGGGGAUAACAGUUGGAAACGACUGCUAAUACCCCAUAUGCCGAGAGGUAAAAUGAAUUUUGCCUGGGGAUGAGCUCGCGUCUGAUUAGCUUGUUGGUGGGGUAAAGGCCUACCAAGGCUUCGAUCAGUAGCUGGUCUGAGAGGACGAUCAGCCACACUGGGACUGAGACACGGCCCAGACUCCUACGGGAGGCAGCAGUGGGGAAUUUUCCGCAAUGGGCGCAAGCCUGACGGAGCAACGCCGCGUGAGGGAUGGAGGCCUUUGGGCUGUAAACCUCUUUUCUCAAGGAAGAAGAUCUGACGGUACUUGAGGAAUAAGCCACGGCUAAUUCCGUGCCAGCAGCCGCGGUAAUACGGGAGUGGCAAGCGUUAUCCGGAAUUAUUGGGCGUAAAGCGUCCGCAGGCGGCCGUUUAAGUCUGUUGUUAAAUCGUGGAGCUCAACUCCAUCACGGCAAUGGAAACUGUUCGGCUUGAGUAUGGUAGGGGCAGAGGGAAUUUCCGGUGUAGCGGUGAAAUGCGUAGAUAUCGG
rnacentral:rRNA from 1 species